UACGAGGGGUGCAAGCGUUACUCGGAAUUACUGGGCGUAAAGCGUGCGUAGGUGGUUUGUUAAGUCUGUUGUGAAAGCCCCGGGCUCAACCUGGGAAUGGCAAUGGAUACUGGCAAGCUAGAGUGCGGUAGAGGGUAGUGGAAUUCCCGGUGUAGCGGUGAAAUGCGUAGAGAUCGGGAGGAACACCAGUGGCGAAGGCGGCUACCUGGACCAGCACUGACACUGAGGCACGAAAGCAUGGGGAGCAAACAGG
rnacentral:rRNA from 1 species